rnacentral:rRNA from 1 species
UAGGGAAUCUUCGGCAAUGGGGGGAACCCUGACCGAGCAACGCCGCGUGAGUGAAGAAGGUUUUCGGAUCGUAAAGCUCUGUUGUUAAGGAAGAACGAGUGGGAGAAUGGAAAGUUCAUACUGUGACGGUACUUAACCAGAAAGGGACGGCUAACUACGUGCCAGCAGCCGCGGUAAUACGUAGGUCCCGAGCGUUGUCCGGAUUUAUUGGGCGUAAAGCGAGCGCAGGCGGUUAGAUAAGUCUGAAGUUAAAGGCAGUGGCUCAACCAUUGUAGGCUUUGGAAACUGUUUAACUUGAGUGCAGAAGGGGAGAGUGGAAUUCCAUGUGUAGCGGUGAAAUGCGUAGAUAUAUGGAGGAACACCGGUAGCGAAAGCGGCUCUCUGGUCUGUAACUGUCGCUGAGGCUCGAAAGCGUGGGGAGCGAACAGG